rnacentral:rRNA from 1 species
GACGAACGCUGGCGGUGUGCUUAACACAUGCAAGUCGAACGGAAAGGCCUCUUUCGGGGGGUACUCGAGUGGCGAACGGGUGAGUAACACGUGAGUAACUUGCCCUUUACUUUUGGAUAACUUCAGGAAACUGGGGCCAAUCCCUGAUAGCACCUCCUGCUGCCUGGUGGGGGUUGGAAAUUUUCGGCGGUUGGGGAUGGACUUGCGGCUUAUAGGCUUGAUGGUGGGGUAGUGGGUUACCAAGGCGAUGACGGGUAUCCGGCCAGUGGCGGUGAGAGACCACACUGAGACUGAGGUGAGGCCCAGACGCCUACGAGAGGCAGAAGUGCGGAAUAUUGCACAAUGGGUGGAGGGCUGAUGCAGCAGGGCUGUGGGCGGUAAGACGGCCUUCGGGUUGAAGAACGCUUGCGCUCAAGACGAAGCUUUGUGUGACGGUAGUGGAUAAAGAAGCACCGGCUAACUACGUG